AUUUAAGUAGCUUGAUUUAAGAUUAUAAUAUUGAGGAUAUUAAGAUAAAAUUUUUUUUAAUUAAUUA
rnacentral:tRNA from 1 species